AUUCUGGAGCUCUGUGUCAGCUGUCAGGUACUGGGUCAAAAACCAAAUGUUAAGACCAAAGAUACUGCCAUAUUGAUCAGGGAAUGCCAAGGGUUUGGGGAGCUCGGUGCCAGGAAUCGGGCACCAAGACCAAAAGACCUGCUUCUCAUUAGAAAUCACAGUGAUCGAUCAUAGCAUCACACAGCCCGGGUGGUGUCUGCAGCGAGGUGGGCCUGCCUGCUUUCCGGCUAGGAGAGAUGCAGGUCCUUCCUCACCAGUGGCAGUGAUGGCCAGUGUCGGCCUGGACUUAGAAGCUCCUGAGCAGCAGACAUAGCUCCGUAGCUAACGUAAGACACAGAACACGCCUUGUACAGUCUUCUGGUGGCUGAGCAAAGGAAGUGGAGUCCGUAAGAAUUGGCAACAUGGAAACAAAAGGAUUGGACUUGAGGAUGGCAAAGACCCAGGUAAGGUGGCAUCCUUAUUGUUUAAAAAAACAAGACUGGCUCCUUGGGUAGCUUAAUUAUUGACAAAUUUCCUUCCCUUUCCUUCCAUCCCUCCCUCCUUCCUGUGCACGUCCAUGGCCUUUCUGUGGGGUCUGCUCUCUCUUUUGAAGCCUAACUGGAGCUGCUUCCCUCCCUUCUCCAGCCCUGGUGCCUGCAAGUCAGCCUGUGUGUGAGGUGGGCAGGAACCUGGUGGCUGUCCCCCCUAGCAAACUCCAUCAGGGCAGCGCUGGGCCGCGGAGGGGAGCAGGCAGAUUUCUGGAACAGUGCUUGCCUGGAAUGCUCUGUGUCCUCCCAGACCCCUGUUGCUCUGCUGGCGAUGCAGAGUCUGUGCUGCAGUCUAAUCGCUGCUGAGAAUCCUGGUACUUCCAGAAAUUCCUCUCUGGCCCGUGUUGGGCUUCAUCUUGUACACAGAGGGGAGCGGAGGGAAGGAAGAUGGAGUGCUGCUCUGUGGCCUGCCUGGGAAGACCUCCGUUUUGUACGGCUUUCGCUCUCAGGGUGAUAAGCUCUUCACCGAGCGCAGUGAAUUUGCUCCUGCCAGCCUCUGGGCCAGCUUCAUCCUCCGGAAAAUCAAGGCAGCAAGUCCUCUGGAGGAGCCGCGGCCCUGUUUUCUAGGCGGGCAGACGACUCUGCAGACAAGGCGAGGACGCGCGGCUGCGACUCACCUCGGCCGCAGACGGGGCUCCGAGGAGCUGCAGGCCUCCGGGCCUUAGGCUGCCCUCACCCUCCGCUGAGGGAUGAGGAGGGUGCGGGCUGCUACUGUCAUCACUGGAAACCCCCACAGUCCGGUAAACUCAGGGACCAGGGAUCUUCAGGUGCACCGUGGCCUGGGCCCGGCAGCGCAAAGUCCCCUCUCAGGCCCGCUCUGCACACACAGGGCCUCUGCGGCCCGCCAGGCCCCUCUCUUCCCCCGCAGGGCCCGGGGUCUGGGGCAGGGGCUGUCUUCCUUCUGCCCACCCCACCCCACCCAGCCUCACCCAGCUCCUUCUGCACGCUCAGUGCGGAUAACAGUGCAGGGCACUGCUCUAUGCCCCUCUGAGUCGCUCCUGUGAAUAAACGCUUGGGGUGUGGAAUCGGAGCCCUGUGGCAGCCUGGAACCAGGGACUCAGGUAGGUGGAGGCUCAGGGGCUGGUGCCUGAGGGGUUGAAGCUGCCACAGUGUGCAGUGGGGAGGCAGCUGGUGAGCAGGCCGGAGUCCCAGGUAACAGCUGGGCUCCACAUGCAGCAGAAGGGGCUCCUUGGGGAAGCAGGGCCCAGCAGAGAACCUGCCUGGGCUACAGGUGGUUGCUUUUGGGUCCUAGGGAGCCGAUGCUUGGCUGACUGAUCGCAUUUCUCUCUCCUUCCUCCCUCUGUCUCUCUCUCUCUCUCUCUCUCUCUCUCUCGAUCUGAAGUAAGCAUGGCAACAUGCUAAUGCUGAUUUGUGCUUACCUAGGCCUUUAUCCAUUAUUUCUGCACUUUUCUGCAUAUUUAAAUUAUCUUAUAAUUGAGAAAAAAAUAUUGCAAAGAAGGAUCUGGAUGACCUGUAUUUUACCCAGCAGGUGCUGUCUGGGAAGUCUGUCUUACCCACAUCUUACUAUGACCUUGUUGGUUCUCCUUUCUCAAUUGUGAAAUUUCAGGCAGGGCCAGGAAUUUGGAUUCGUGGAGGUGGAGGAGCUGAGCCCCUCCCUCUUCCCCCUGCACCUGGUGGGCUGCAGAGCUUGGCGGGGGCAGCAGGGGAUCCUGGGCAGGUCUCCCUGCAUCCCUCCAGCUAGUUCUGAGACUGGCAGCAGAAGAGGGAGGCACUGGGCCUCCUCGAGUCUCCGCUGUAAACAGCAGCAUGAAUCAUCUGGAAAUCAACAGUCGUCUGUCCCGGUUCUGCAAAGACUGAGGAACUGCAGCAGCGUUGAGGGUGACUGGCCUGAAACUGCAGGGAAAGAUAAAUAACUUGGAGGAAAAACUCCAGCUGAGAGGCCCCAGCUGGGCAUUCAAGGCCCGGCUCAGGGGGCUGGGGGUGGUUCCUUCCAUUCUGAGGAGGGCGGGGGUGACACAGGAAUCUCUGGGUAGGCCUGAGCCCUCCGUGGCUUCCUGGGGCAGUGUGACCUCCCUCUAGCCAGGACUGCAAGGUUGCACCCUAGCACCUCACUUGGUGACUCCCUGCAGUCCCCCCAGGGAAAGAGGCCCAUAAUGUGGACAUUCAGAGGUGGCUGAGGCACAGGAACCGGAAAGACUGGUUUCCAGGGCUGGCAGCUGCCAGGAGAUGCCAGGAGGCCAGGGGUAGGAAGGAGCAGCAUUGGGGUGAGCAGCAGGCAGGCACUGGAAGCACUUCUGGAAUCUCCAACUCUAUUUCUGGCUGUCUUCCCUGGAUGUUUUGCAUCUAGGGUAUGAGCUUGUAACUUGGCAACCCCUUUGCUGACUUGUUUGGGAAUAAACUGUGCUGGGAGUGAGAUCUAAAUGCUGGGAGUUCACUCACACAGUUCUCAUGGGUCCGGUUUUAUUCUGAACACUUUCGAUUACCCAGGAAAAGGUGAGGACCCAAAACAUUUUCAAGCUAGUGAGUGUGGCUGGGAUUGUUUUUUAAGUGUCAUCUUUUACAGAGAAAGUGUACUUUUGUUUUUGAGUUAUGUAUCUUUUAAGUCAAGACUUGAUGCAUAGAGACAUCAUUAUAGAGUCACGUGACACAGUCCCUGGAAACCAGCGUCAUUCUUCUGAGAGUCAUGGUGGUUAACAGCUCCGUGUUGCGUCAGGGUGUGUGAGGACUGAUUCUAUGCACUGCUCAAAAAUAAAAUUUACUUUUCAAUUUUAAAAAUAUUUAUUUGAUUAUUUAGAUGGUCCUGGAGAUUGAACUCAGGGUCUUCACACUGAGCCAAUUGUAAGCCCUGUCAAUUAAUUUAAUUUUUGAGACAGGGUCUUACAAAGUCACUAAGUUGUCCAAGCUGCGUUCAGACUGGCCAUCCUUCUGUCUCAGCCUCCCAGAGUGCUGGGAUCAUAGCUGUGCACCACUACUACAACGGUCCUCUGAUUUUUGAAGUGAGAUAAGGACUAGUUGGUCUGCUCUACUUAUCGGUGGUUUAUGAAGAUGGGGAAAUGUUUAUUUCAUGAGCACAUUUGUCCACCUUAAUUUGCAAGGGAUUCAAGAAAAAAUAGCUGCCACGAAACACCGUUUGGUUCUUGUGAACCAUGGUAAUGUUUGGGACAAUUUCUUCUACAUCCAAACACCUUCAAAGUCAUUGUCCUGUGGUCUGAUCUGUGAAUGUGUCUCCAUCUAUUGUUUUUCAGAGCCAUCCGUGGGGGAGCCAAUGCAGACGCUGGCUCUCCGGGGACACCACACUGUGCAUUUCCUUCCUUUGGGAAGGACCUGGUGCCUGGUGGGGCAUUGUUCUCUCCUUCCUUGACCAGAGGAAAGUUUUCCACUCUUUGGUCUUGCUAAAUUGCCCAAGUGGGACUUGAACGUGUGUUUCUCCUGUCUUGGCCACCCAAAGUGCUGCAUCUUUAAAUGACCUUCAAAGUGUUUGUUUGCUUGAGAAGGCCCUCCAGAGAAAUAUGCAAGGAACCUGCUAAAACUCAGCCAGUCACUCUGGCACACUCUUUUAUGUGAACUAAAGUCAACUUCACUCAUUAUCAAACCAAAUUCUCCACCCAGAAGGAUUCCUGCCCUGCACGUUUUUCAAUGUUUUGAACCAUUUUUCUCCAUCAGUUUUUGGAGCACAUGAUGUAGGACCUUGAACUGAGCCUGCUUAGGCAUGUGAAUGUGCCCGCUCUGCAUGUGACGACAGUCUUUCCUGGACGAGUCUGUGGGGAUCCCCCAUGGAAGCCCUGCUCUUCUCUGUCCAGGGAGACACUUCAGUGACAGUCACCCCCAUGCUGCAAGUGAGACUCCUUUCUUCACUCCUAUAUCUUGGUUCUGUUGCUUGGCUUUGCCCUCAUCUGUGGGGAAACUCACUGCGUUUGGUUACAGCUGCUCGAAUGUCCUCACAUAUGGCAACUGGCUAUCCCCAGGAUGAACCAUCCCUGAGAGAGGUGGCAAUGUAUUUCGUGACCUGACCUCAGAAAUCCUGUACAGUCACCUCAGCCAUGUUGUCUCGCUGCAGAAGAGCCCUUAAGUCUGGCUCCCAUUCAAGGCUCAAGCCGGAAGGAGGAUGAGAAGACAGCUAGGACCAGACAGACUUCAGGAGCCCACAGAGGCCGGAACUUAUCCUGGUGCCGCUGGGAGCCAUCAGACUGCCGAUUUCCAAAGCUUAUUUUGAGUUGGGCAUGUUGAGGCAUUCAUCUACAAGCCCAGCACUCUGGGAAGCGGAGGCAGGGGGAUCAAAAGUUCAAGCCCAGCCUGUUUCAAAAUAAAAAAUAGCAAAGGGGUGGUACUUAAUGAGACCCUGUUUCAAAGUAAAAAAUACAAAGAGCCGGAAUGAGGCUCAGUGAGAAGGCCCUGCGUUCAGUCCCCAGUACCACAGGCAUACACACGCACACACACACACACACACACACACACACCCCGAGUUAUUUUGCUGGCCAUGGAAAGAACAGAUUAUGCAGCUAUGGGUGAGAAUGUUAGAGAGGAGACAACUUCAGAGGCCAUGACAGACUUCCAAGCUCAAGAUGGUGGCUUAGACGAGAUGGAUGCCAGGAAGCAGAGAAGGGUGCACAAGCUCAGAGGUCGGGGCCAAAGGCAGUGGAAGAACACUGGGACUCCCGUGUGAGCAGCGAGGGCAGCUGAGACAAGGAUCCAGUUUCCUGAAAAGAGAAAGAGUUUGUUUUGGACGAUUUAAGUUAGAAACCCUAUUGACAUCCCGGUGGAUGUUUCAGAUAAUUGGAUAUAUGGGUUUAGAGAUAGGUCAGGACUGGGGUCAGGGCUGGGGUGUACAUUUGUGAAUCAAGUCACAGAAGAUGUUUAACAAGGAAUUAUGGCAUGGAUAAAUCAAUAGGAACAGAGUUGCUUGCCCUGGCUGCUCCUGCUGUUGACAUUGCUGCUACAGCCACCUUCUGCCUCUGUGUGGCCACCCGACUAGAGCCAGAGGAUCUGAGGUUGUGGCUGCAUGUGCUCACGUGGCUGUUGCUUCUUGCUUUGCCAAGGAUGCCAGCUGUCAUUGGUGGGUCUGCGUAGCUGAGCCCAGAGGUGCCACUUCUGCUGUUAAACAUGGCACCAUGGCAACAGAGCUCCUCACCAUCUUGACCCAGCCCAGCAGGACUCCUCUCCAGUUCUCCAUUUCUUUCUUCAUGCAUCAUCUGGCUCAGAUUUUCCACUCUCCUAACAUUCUCUCAGCUUGUUGACAUUUUUACAGUGCCUUACGGAAGAACAUACGUAUUUGCUUCCUGUUUUUAUCCUGAGAGAAGUGUCUGCGGAAUCAAACUUGGGACCUUGUGCUUGCAAGGCAGGUGUGAGUACCACUGAGCUAAAUCCCUGGCCCUGGAUAAAGCUUCUAUAAAUAUGUGUGUACAAGGUUUUGUGUGGCCAUAAAUUUUUAACCCAUUUGAGUAAAUACCAAGGGGAAUGACUGCUGGGUCAUAUGGUAAAAAACUGUUUACUUUGUAAGAAUCUGCCACACUGUCUAUAAAACGGUCCAUAUUAUUAUUAUUUUUUUUGUUGUUACCGGGGAUCGAACUUGGGCCCUUGCGCUUGCACAGCAGGUGGUGAAACCACUGAGCUAAAUCCCCGGCCAGGAUCCAUAUUAUUUUGACUUCCCACCAACAAUGAGUGGGAGUUCCCGUGGCCCCACGUCUUCCCCGCAUUUGAUGUUGUCAGGGUUUUGCAUUUGAGUCCUUCUAGCAGAUGGACAGUGGUAUCUUCUUUUAAUUUGCAAUUCCCUAAUGACAAAUGAUGCCCAGCAUCUUCUCAUAUGCACGUAUGUCAUUGUAUAUCUUCUUGGGUGAGGUGUUUGUUCUGGUUUUUGCCCAUUUUUAAUUGGCUUUUUUGUUUUCUUAUUCUUGAAUUUAAAGAUUUCUUUGUAUCUUUUGGGUAACUGUCCUUUAUCAGAUGUGUCUUUUGCAUAUUUUCUCCCAAUCUAUAGCUUGUUUUCUCAUUCUUGUUGCAGGAUCUUUUGCAGAGAAAGUCUUAAUUUUAAUGAUGUCACCUUAUCAAUUACUUCUUUCAUUGAUAGUGGCUUUGGUGUCAUGUCUAAAAGUCAUCACUAUACCCAAGAUCAUCUAGAUUAGUGAUGGCAAAACUUUUAGAGACCUAGUGCCAAACUACAACCAAAACCCACUUAUUUAUCAUAAAGUGCCAACACUGCAAUUAAACCUGAGAUUUUAGUUUAGAAAAACCAACUCUAUAUCAACAUCUUUUGCCUUAAACGAAAAACACAAUAACACGUUUGCCACCACUGAUCUAGAUGCGUUCCGAAGUUACCUUUUCAGUGUGCUAUAGUUUAUAUUUCACACUGAAGUCUAUGACCCAUUUUGAGUUAGUUUUUGUGAAGGGUGUAAGUUCAAUGUCUAGACUGGUUUCUUUGCAUGUGGAUGUCUAGUUGUUCCAGCACUGUUUGUUGAAAGACUACCCUUGCUGGGCAUGGUGGCCAAUGCCUAUAAUGCCAGCUACUUGGGAAGCUGAGCAGGAGGAUCACAAGUUCAAGGCUAGCCUGGGCAACACAGUGAUAACCUGUCUGAGAAUAAAAGUAAGCCUCUUCUCUUUGUCAAGGACUAGCUGAUUAUAAUGGUGUGGGUCUAUUUCUUGGCUCUCCACUCAGUUUCACUGAUCUACUGUUUUUAUUUUGUUCUUUAUUUUUUUCUCCAGUACUGGGACUGAACCCAUGGGCUUGCACAUGCUAGGCAAGUGCUCUACCACUGGGCUUCAUCUCCAAUUCUUUUUUUUUUUUUUUUUUAAGAGGUGGAGUCUUGCCAUGCUGCCCAGCCUCCUGCUUCAGCCUCUCAAGUAGAGGCUCAAUUUUUCUUCUGGUUUUCACUUUGUCACGAGAUUUGCUCUACCACCUACUCUGGCAAGUCUAGUCAUUUCCCUGCAUCCUUCCACCUCGUGACUGUCCUGGUUAUUCUCAGCCCUGCCACAUAGUGGCCAUCAUCUUUCCCACCUUGUUGACUCCACUCUGGUUCCCAGAUGCUAUAUCCUUCCUUUUCUUUCUUUUCCUGAAACCCAUCAACUAUUAGUUCCUAGGAAAAGGUGCAUGGAAGAUGCAUUUUCAUAGUCCUUGCAUGUCUGAAAAUUCUUUUAUCUGCCUUCAUUCUUGAUCAAUAGUUUGGUUGAGGGUAGAAUUUAAGGUUAUUUAUUUAUGUAUCUAUUUGGCAGUGCUAGGGCUUGAACCCAGGGCCCUGUGUGUGCUAGGCAAGUGGUUCACCACUGAGCUAGCUGCACCCCCGGCUCCUUAACUCAAUUCUUUUAAAACUUAGAAGGCACUGAUUAUUUUCUUCUAGCAUCCAAUGUUGUUCUUGAAGUCAAUUUCAUGUUCAUUCUUGUUCUUCUAGUUUCCAUCCUCUUUGGAAGUUCUAGGUUUCCCAAUUUGUCCCUUGUGACCCUUUAUGAUGAUGUGCCUUUUUGUAUCAGUCAAGGUAUUUGCUAAAAUAAAAAAAGUCAACUAAAAUGGACCAUACUGUAAGUACUUUCUUUUGGUACUGGGGUUUGAACUUGGGACCUUGCGCUUGCGAGGCAGACGACGGAACCACUGAGCUAAAUCCCUG
rnacentral:lncRNA from 1 species